CAUAUGCCAAGUCAACAAUAGUUUCAACCUGAAGAUUCGUCGUCUCCUGUGGAUAUGCAAAUUCAACAGUCGAUUCAGUCUGGUAAUUCCGACGACUCAUAUGGAACCCACCAGUUCGAAAAUAUGCAUCCGCAAUUUAAUUACAAUGGUGGUCAUUACAACUGGGGAAUGCAGCAGCCGUACUGGAACUAUAAUUCACAUUUAAUGAAUUCUUCUUAUCAAACACCAUCAACUGUCCCUGAAUUUCCGAGCCAGCAAAAUAUUGGAGCAAUAACAAGCUAUAGGCCAAAAGAAUCACAUCAUCUGCAGCUUCGUAACUAAUCAGAAUAUUUUCAUUUUAAACGUAUAAUCCUUAACCAUAUUUUUUUAGAUGCUGAAAGUAGUUCCGGCCCUUCUACAUCCCGAGAUUCUUCGUCUUAUUAUGCUACGGAUUCUCCAUUGUCUCUUCCCAUUCCAAAGAAAGUCAAUCACGACAAAAAGAAAUACUUCUCUGACCUUGCCAAGAUUAAUGAAAAGUUGUCUAUGAUCGAUAAAAAAAUUAAUCCAGAUGACGAAUGCAUUGAGGAAAUAGAUGAAGGCAUUGCUUCUCUUCCAUUAAAAAACUUAGAAGAAUUGGAAGCAUUCGAAAAAAUGCUGAAGAAAGAUGAAAAUCUGAAGAAGCUAGUAAGUUUUCAAUAAUUUAUAUAUUUCAUUUAGUAUGUUAAACUCCUCUUUCAUUCAUGAAUAGAUAGUCCGAAAAAUCCGUCUUUUAGGAAAAAAGAAUUCCAAAAAUUUAGAAGGUGACUAUGUACAAAGAGCGUGGAGAACAGUAUUUGAAGAUUCACUCUCUAAGGAUGUAAAUUGGCUUGGGAGAUGUGAUAAGAGAGUAAACGGUGGAAUGGGAAAAAAAGGAAUCCACUCUUGUCGUAUAACGGAAUUAGUAAGAGUUGGAAUCAUCUCCAAUUCAAAGUUUAAAGAUCUGGAAAAAGAAGUGUUCGUCGCUGAAACCAAAUCGUAUCUUCAUAAUGCAAAAGGGCGUUUUGUGGCAGAACAAGCGAAACUUGCGGUGGAAGACAACAGCAGCGAUUCUAAUUAAUAAUAAGACUUGAAUG